GAUCCAGUGCAUCGGACACGGUGGGAA
rnacentral:sRNA from 1 species